rnacentral:rRNA from 1 species
AACGUAGGACACAAGCGUUAUCCGGAGUUACUGGGCGUAAAGGGCGUGUAGGCGGACCUAUAAGUCUAUUCUGAAAGCUCCUGGCUAAACUGGGAGAGGCGAAUGGAGACUGUAGAUCUAGAGUGAGGAAGAGGAAAGUGGAAUUCCGCGUGUAGUGGUGAAAUGCGUAGAGAUGCGGAGGAACACCAGUGGCGAAAGCAGCAUCCUGGGAAGUUCCUGACGCUCGGGUGCGAAAGCCAGGGGAGCGAACGGG